AAUCAACGCUGGCGGCGUGCCUAACACAUGCAAGUCGAACGCGAAAGUCCCGCAAGGGAUGAGUAGAGUGGCAAACGGGUGAGUAACGCGUGGGUGACCUGCCUUCGAGCGGGGGAUAACGUCCCGAAAGGGACGCUAAUACCGCAUAACAUCCUGCUUUUUAACAAGUGGAGAUCAAAGCUGGGGAUCGCAAGACCUAGCACUCGAAGAGGGGCCCGCGUCUGAUUAGCAGUUGGUGAGGUAACGGCUCACCAAGGCGACGAUCAGUAUCCGGCCUGAGAGGGCGGACGGACACACUGGGACUGAGACACGGCCCAGACUCCUACGGGAGGCAGCAGUGGGGAAUUGUUCGCAAUGGGCGCAAGCCUGACGACGCAACGCCGCGUGGAGGAUGAAGACC
rnacentral:rRNA from 1 species